AUGGAUAGAUGGUCGGUCGGUUGUAGUGUCAUGCGAUUUUUAUAGAAUAAUAAAUGCGUUAGAUUUUUACAGAUUCAUUUAAACAGAUUUUUACACAUUUUUACAGAGUAUUAAAGGGUAUUAAAUAGUCAGAGUAAUCCGAAUAUUAAACCUGAUAUUAACGUCGAAUCUUUACCUUGUUUUCACAGGAUUUUCACGAGAUUUGCACCGUUUUUAAGGAGAUGGGUCAGGAUUACUAACAUCUGGUUACGAUGGCACCUGCAGAACCCUAUUUGAUGGGUCUCAUGUAGUCAUGAUCAGUAUCCAUUUUCAGAUGGGAAUCCUGCAGAACAUCGAUCAGAUUGUUACGACGGCAAAUAACAAAAGAGUAAUAGAGUAAACGAUGAAGAAUAAGAUGUAGAGGCCGACUAAAAAUUUAUACCAUUGUUAUCGGAAGAAAAAGAUGUAGAUGGUGACUAAAAAUUUAAACCAAAUUAAUCGACAGUCUAACCUUGGUAAACCUACAAAAGUUAAACCACGCUCAGAUUUUUCCACCUUCUUACAUCCUCCGAAAAAGCUGCAAAAGGAGACAAGAAUGAUUUCGAUUCGACGUGCGCAGACUUGCUCUCGAUAGAUGAUUGACGUAUGCAGAGUGCGACAGUGAAAAGACUAGACCUGAAAAUAUUAUUCUAAUACAAUAAAUUUAAUUUAUAAAAGCCCGUUGUCAAAUUUACCAAUACUUUCACAUAACGUAUUUCAGACAUUGUCUUAAACUAAAUGUAACAAAUUUAUUACUAUAGAUUUGACCGUUGAUUAAUUAUGCACCCAAAUUUUUUACCAUAAUAAGAUUUUAAAAAGUCGGUGGAAUUCUAGAAAUUCGAAAUACCGAAAUCGAAUUACUGAAACGAUUUCAGGAUAAUUUUUCGAUAAUCCAAAUCUAUAUAAUUAAUGUGAAAUUAUAAAGUGAUGGGUAUUAAUGGAAGAAUAAUAUAACCGAAUAGUAUAAACCGAAUAGUAUCUACUUUCGGAUAUACUAACCGAAUUAGAUAUAUCCGAAUAAUUAUCCGGUUAUAUCCAGAUAAAAUAUUUCGGAUAUAUAUUGGGUUCUAAUUUAUUUGGAUAAAUCCCUACCGAUUUUAUUAUGGUCAAUCUUUCCCGAUCUACUCCAAAAUCCCUACCACCCGGUCUACGCAGGCGACAGGAUAACCAGACCGGCCCGCCGCGUUCUGGAUUUACCUAAAUAGUCAAAGAAGUCAUCCCUCGAUAAUCUGUAAAUUGAUAAUCAAUAGGUAUUUUUAAUCAUUAAAUAAAAUAAAGUAAUCGGAUUGCAGGCAGCCUGUAUAAUUUUCCAAAACAAUCUACAUGUAAUGAAUAUCCGUCAAAAGUUCUUGGAGAACAUCAUUAAACGAAAGAAACGGAGGAAUAAAACCUAGAAUCUCGUAGACGAAAUCUACCAUACAGCUGUGUGUUAAAAUAAACUGUUGCCUAACACCUAACGAAAAACUCGAGAACAUAAACCCAAAAUAAUCCCUUACCUCCGCUUUUAUAUUCUCCAAAGAAAAUAAGGUAUGUCUCCGGUGAUGUUGUUCUUCCACUUCGCCCAUGACGGAAUCAUUUGGAAUGGGUAAUCGGCAACAUGAUUUACAAAUCAUACAGGUUUUGAGAUAUACGAGAUUGCCUGGUGGAGUUGAUAUAUGAGACUGCCUGGUGGAGUUGAUAUACGAGACUGCUUGGUGGAGUUGAUAUACGAGACUUCAUGGUACAAGACCAACGAAGAAUUUCGAAAUUAGGGAUGAAUUGAAAAUAGGGUUAUGCAGUCUGUAUAUGAUUUUGGUUAAAAUUCAUUUCCUCAUAAAUGGGUUAUAAUUGAUUGACCGAUUAAUGCAUCUCACCCGAUUAUUUAUGUUUGAGGGUUUAUUUGUCAUUACCUAUUUGCCUCCCAAUGUCGAUACUACGAGGUAUUAAAAUCUGCAAGAACCCCUUCCAUUAUUAAUUUGCGAUAACCCAUUUCGAUUGUAAAAAGAACCCAUUCCGAUUGUGAUCAACCGAUGGAGUUGAAGAACAUUGCUGUCAAGAAGAGGUCCUGAGAAAUUUCUCGAGACGACGAUGUUUGGGAUUCGAGAUCCUCUGCUAACAUCAGUUCCGAAAUAAAUCUUAGUCCACAACAAGAACAGCUAAUUGCAGCGAUCGCAAGUAGCAGGUCGGUUUUCAUUACAGGUUCUGCGGUACCGGUAAGAGUUUCCUUUUAAAGCACGUUGUCUCCACACUACGACGCAUUCAUCCUCCGAAAUCUGUUUUUUUGACAGCUUCCACCGGCGUAGCGGCAUACGCACUAGGUGGACAUACUCUCUACUCCUUCGCAGGCGUCGGGUUAGGGAAAGGGACCAAAACAGAGCUUGUCUCCUUUACUCUUAAAAAGCAAUAAAGCCGUCGAACGGUGGAAGAGAGCUAAGGCGCUUGUUAUUGACGAGAUCAGCAUGAUCGAUGGAGAGCUCUUUGAUAAUCUGGAGUUCUCGUCAAGCACGAUUAGAAAUUCACAUUGUAAAGGCGAUAAACAGUUACUUUGGGGAGGCAUUCAACUGAUUGUGAGUGGUGAUUUCUUCCAAAUCCCUCCCAUCAAUGCUCACAAUCCUCGAAAUGAGUUUGCUUUUGAGUCAUCUUACUGGAAAGCUACAUUUGACAUUCAGAUGGAAUUAACUCAUAUCUACCGCCAGUCGGACUUCGAGCUCAUCGAUUUCCUUGAAGGUAUCUGUCGGGGCCAAGUCGAUCGUGAUAACAGAAACUUCCGAAGAUUCCUCCAUGGCACCGCAUCCGUUAACAGCGCUAUUGACGAUAAUCUAACCGAAACCCGACUGUUUCCAAGAACCGAUGAUGUGCGGAGAGUGAACCAGGAGCAUCUGAGAAGUUUAGGAAAAGAGGUAGAGAGGUUCAAUGUUGUCGAUAAAGGUUCAAUGCCAUGGUUAAAACAAUUGAAAUAUCAGAUAACACCUGAUGAACUGGAAAUCUGCAAGGGCGCCAGGGUAAUGUUGAUCAAGAACACAGAUCAAGCAAUCAGACUCGUCAACGGCGCAACCAGAGUAGUAACAAGAUUCAAAGCAGGUUCGUCAAUAUCAUCUGAAAACAAUGUAAACGGUGUAGUGCCCAUAGUUAGAUUCGAUUCAAGAUCGGAAGUUCCAUUGGAUGUUGAAAAAUGGGACAUUAUCACAUUAUCGAAGGCAAUGGAGUUAAGGCUUUUCGCCGGCAAGCUCCACUCAUAUUAGCUUGGGCACUUAGUGUUCACAAGUGUCAAGGGAUGACUCUUGAUCGUCUUAAUACCGACCUGACACGGACAUUUGGAUCUGGAAUGGUUUACGUUUCACUUUCUCGAGUUACCACAAUCCAAGGUCUUCGUGUUGCUGGAUUUAUAAAGUCUUGAAAAAAUCAAAGCGAACCCUAAAGUUUUAAAUUUUUACACAAAGUUUAUUUCCACAUCCUCUAACUCUGAUAAGUCUUAGAAAAUUUCCUCUUGUACUUCGUUUAUUACAUGUUUUAUUUAAAAAAAUUCUUAGGGCCAGAGGCCCAUCUUUUUUGGAUCAUAUGUUCUUAAACAACUAAAUUUUUUUUUCUUUAAAACAAAUUGUUUUUAAGCAAACUAGUUCUUAAUUCCAAAAAAGUCAUCAACAUUAUCUCAUUCUGAUCUUUAUUCUUCAUUCCACCAUUAUCUUCAUUCCACCAUUAUCUCACGAUCAAUAAUCUGAGAACGAUUGAUUGAAAUAAAGUCAUCAAUGAUCACCAUCAAUAAUCUGUGAACGAUUAAAGGUGAUUAAAAGGAUCAAUAACUUUUUAAAGGAUGUUGGUAAUCCCAAUCGUCAAUUAACACGAUUAAUCUAACGAUAAUGGAGAAGGUGGAAUAGAAAUGGAGACCAGUUAAUUAUAUUGGUCAAGCUAGAGUCUUGAGUAUCUUACGAUCCUUAUCGCCGAAAGGAAAUGGGUUCCGUCGAAAAUAAACUUGAUGGAGAUUAAAAGACAACGGAGAAUGAAGAAAUCGAAGAUACCCAAUAGCUGCCGAAACCCAAGACGAAGAAACCCAGUAGCUGCCGGAACCUAGGACGAAGAUCGAAACAACCAGUUAAUUAUAUUGGUCAACCUAGAAUCUUGAUUAUCUUACGACCUUAUUAUCGAAAGGAAAUGGGUUCCAUCGAAAAUAAACUGAAUGGAGAUAAAAAGAAAACGGAGGAUGAAGAAAUCGAAGAUACCCAAUAGCUGCCCAAUAUAAUUAAAAUUAGAACAAAGGAACCCAAUAGUUGCUGGAACCCAGAACAAAAACAUCGGAGGAAUAAAGAAAAAGAAGAAUGAACCUAAUAACUAUUGGAAUGAACCCAGAACGAAGACAAUCAAGGAAUAAGACGAAGACGAUAAAAAUAGAUGAUAGACAAUAAAUGAUAGAAUGUUCAUAGAAUGAAUAGAUGAUAGAAUUUUGAUCAUGAAAAAUAGAAUAAACCCACAAAUAAUAAACCCAGAACGAAGACAAUAGAUGAUAGAAUGUUGAUCAUGAAGAACAAACCCAAAAACUGGAGAAUGGUAAACCGAGAAUGAAAACAACCAGAGAAAUAAAAAUAAGAAGAAACCGAAAAGAAGAAGAAACCCAAAAGAAGAUGAAACCCAAAAGAAGAAGGAAUCGAGAACGACAACGGAGGAUGAAGAAGAAACCAGCUUAUAACAGACACCGACAAGACAUGAUAAAAAAG
rnacentral:lncRNA from 1 species